CUUGCAGACCACACGCAGAGUUAAAGAGGAGAUAAAAGAGACCCAGAGUGGUUCCGACUGGGCCCAGAGUGAAAGAAGGAACAGAAGGUCCAGUUCAUUUACCACAAGCUACGUCUGGUUUCCCAUCCAGGGCUGACCAGGACCACCCCUUCUUAGCUUCAAAGGCAAAUCUGCAGUGGGAUGCCUCUGUGUUAUGUUGCUGGAAUGAAUAUGUUGAAACUUGCAACUGGAAAAAAGGCAAUGAACGCAAAGGCCAGG
ensembl:lncRNA